GAUGAACGCUAGCUACAGGCUUAACACAUGCAAGUCGAGGGGAAACGAUAGAGAAAGCUUGCUUUUUCUAGGCGUCGACCGGCGCACGGGUGAGUAACGCGUAUCCAACCUGCCCACCACUUGGGGAUAACCUUGCGAAAGUAAGACUAAUACCCAAUGACGUCUCUAGAAGACAUCUGAAAGAGAUUAAAGAUUUAUCGGUGAUGGAUGGGGAUGCGUCUGAUUAGCUUGUUGGCGGGGUAACGGCCCACCAAGGCGACGAUCAGUAGGGGUUCUGAGAGGAAGGUCCCCCACAUUGGAACUGAGACACGGUCCAAAACUCCUACGGGAGGCAGCAGUGAGGAAUAUUGGUCAAUGGACGAGAGUCUGAACCAGCCAAGUAGCGUGCAGGAUGACGGCCCUAUGGGUUGUAAACUGCUUUUAUAAGGGAAUAAAGUGGGUCUCGUGAGACUUUUUGCAUGUACCUUAUGAAUAAGGACCGGCUAAUUCCGUGCCAGCAGCCGCGGU
rnacentral:rRNA from 1 species